rnacentral:misc_RNA from 1 species
ACAAUAUUCACAGAUACAUCAGCUGAUGGAAAGUAUGCCCAAUCAAGUCACUUUGAAGGAUUGGAAAAACUGGUUGGAAAUGAUGCUGCAGGCUUAAGUUCAAAUCCAGUUGGUGGAUCCUCUCAUCCUGAAAAUCCAUCUUCAUCAAGACCAGUGCAAGGAAACUGUUUAACAGCAGAUAAGAUGGUUAAGAAUAUAUCAGAGAAAAAGAGGAAACGGCCUUCUGAGACACAGCCCUCUUCUGGUCAGAAUAAGAAGGAUCAAGAAAUAAAUGAAGCUAUGGCAGAAGCCUUGUUGGAGAUGGUGGCUGCUUCCAGGUGGAGAAAGGCUGCACCAAAGCAAAACAAUGAAAAAUUUACCAUAACUAAUUGCAUUAAAGCACUGGAUGAGAUAGGAGACAUUGAUCAACAGCUGUACUUUGCAGCUUUGGACCUGUUUGAGGAGCGUAACUUGAGAGAGACAUUUAUCUCUUUGAAAGGUAAUCAGAUACGGCUGACUUGGUUGCAGGGGAAGUGCGGUAAAUCCACCAUUUUCUUGUAGGUUAAGGAAGAGGUUGUGGCCUUUUUAAUCCCCAGAGGUGUAAACAUCCUAUUUAGUUGCUCCUAUCUUAUUUUUGGUAAACAAGGUCUUUUAAGUCGGGGGUUUAACCAAUACCAGAAACUAGGUCUAUACAAGCGUGUAAAUUGUGAUUACUUGACGAAUAGGCAAUCAAAGUUGUUUAUUGGUGAAGUGAUUUCAGGCCUGAUAACAUCAAGAUAAGACACUGCAUGCUGUGUGGCUCUUUUCGAGGCAGUUAUACCAUUUAGGUGAUACUUUGAAAUGUUCUGAACACGAACCGACAUAUGCAUCGCUAUUAAGAAUCUUAAGUGUAGCAAGGUCCUCAGGCUAAGGGCAGUGCCAGGGGAAGCCCUUCUUCCUAUGUAAGACACAGUUAUGUUUUCUGGUCGUGAUCUGAAUGAAUUCAUGAUGCAACGCC